rnacentral:tRNA from 1 species
UGACUGUAGCUCAGUUGGCAGAGCUCAGGAUUGUGGUUCCUGCUGGUAUGGGUUAGAGUCCCAUCAGCCAC